rnacentral:rRNA from 1 species
ACAUACGACCAUAGGUGCUGGAAAGUACGGGAUCCCGUCCGCUCUCCCCUAGUCAAACCAGCGACCGCCGGAUUAGUAGUUGGGUCGGUGACGACCAGCGAAUACCUGGUGUUGUAUGUU